rnacentral:tRNA from 1 species
GAAUUGUGGCUCAGUGGUGGAGUGCUUGUCUAGCAUGUGUGAGGCCUGGGUUCGAUCCUCAGCAACA